GAAAUGCGAUAAGUAAUGUGAAUUGCAGAAUUCAGUGAAUCAUCGAAUCUUUGAACGCACAUUGCGCCCGUCAGCAUUCUGGCGGGCAUGCCUGUUCGAGCGUCAUUUCAACCCUCAGGACCCCCCUUUCGCGGGGAGGGACCUGGCGUUGGGGAUCGGCCCGCCCCCCGUGGCGGCGCUGUCCCCGAAAUCUAGUGGCGGUCUCGCUGCAGCCUCCCCUGCGUAGUAGUUACAACCUCGCAUCGGAGCGCGGCGCGGCCACGCCGUAAAACCCCCGACUUUCUGAACGUUGACCUCGGAUCAGGUAGGAAUACCCGCUGAACUUAAGC
rnacentral:misc_RNA from 1 species